AUACGGAGGGUGCAAGCGUUAAUCGGAAUUACUGGGCGUAAAGCGUACGUAGGCGGUUUGUUAAGUUAGAUGUGAAAGCCCCGGGCUUAACCUGGGAACUGCAUUUAAAACUGGCGAACUAGAGUUGAGUAGAGGGGAGUGGAAUUUCAGGUGUAGCGGUGAAAUGCGUAGAGAUCUGAAGGAACACCAGUGGCGAAGGCGACUCCCUGGACUCGAACUGACGCUGAGGUACGAAAGCGUGGGUAGCAAACGGGAUUAGAUACCCUAGUAGUCC
rnacentral:rRNA from 1 species